UGAGGAAUAUUGGACAAUGGAGGCAACUCUGAUCCAGCCAUGCCGCGUGAAGGACUAAGGCCCUAUGGGUCGUAAACUUCUUUUGACGCAGAGCAAUAAGGAUUACGUGUAGUCUGAUGAGAGUAUGCGUCGAAUAAGCAUCGGCUAACUCCGUGCCAGCAGCCGCGGUAAUACGGAGGAUGCAAGCGUUAUCCGGAUUUAUUGGGUUUAAAGGGUGCGUAGGCGGCUUUGCAAGUCAGCGGUGAAAGGCCCGGGCUCAACCCGGAAAGUGCCGUUGAUACUGUGAGGCUGGAAUGCGGAUGCUGUGGGAGGAAUGAGUGGUGUAGCGGUGAAAUGCAUAGAUAUCACUCAGAACACCGAUUGCGAAGGCAUCUCACAAAUCCGCAAUUGACGCUGAG
rnacentral:rRNA from 1 species